GUUAUAUGGUCAAGUGAAGAAGCGCAUACGGUGGAUGCCUUGGCAGUCAGAGGCGAUGAAAGACGUGGUAGCCUGCGAAAAGCUUCGGGGAGUCGGCAAACAGACUGUGAUCCGGAGAUGUCUGAAUGGGGGAACCCAGCCAUCAUAAGAUGGUUAUCUUGUACUGAAUACAUAGGUGCAAGAGGCGAACCAGGGGAACUGAAACAUCUAAGUACCUUCUGAAUGGGGGAACCCAGCCAUCAUAAGAUGGUUAUCUUGUACUGAAUACAUAGGUGCAAGAGGCGAACCAGGGGAACUGAAACAUCUAAGUACCUUGAGGAAAAGAAAUCAACCGAGAUUCCCUUAGUAGUGGCGAGCGAACGGGGACCAGCCCUUAAGUUGUAUUGAGAUUAGCGGAACG
rnacentral:rRNA from 1 species